rnacentral:misc_RNA from 1 species
GCUUACUGGAUUCCGUAGGAACUUCCCGGCACGGGAUUUGAAAGGGUUACAACAGACAGAUAAGUAUGCUUAUUGAACAGUCAAUUUCAGCAGCCAGGAAAGGGAAUUGGAGUUGUCCAAAAACAACAAUUUUGUGAAGAAUUCUUUGCUUAAUCUUCACUUACUGGAACUUGAAACGAAAAUCAAUCAAAAUGCGAAGAAAAGAUGAGCAUAACUUCCGAAAAAACUGGCUUCUG